CGGAGACUCAGGCGGCGGCCCGCCCGCUCCAACGCGGACAGAAUCGCGUCAGCGCUGCCCCACCCCCCUGCGUUGCAGGCGCCGCCCGGGCCACCGCGCCUGCGCGCAAUGGGCCUGAGCCCGCUACGCCGACGUGCGAACUACCGGACGUGGAGCCCAGCGAAGACGGUUGGCACAGGCAGACGGAAGGACAGGCGGGCUCCCAUGAGUCCUUGCUGCAUCUCGUCCAAUGGGGUUCGAGCUUCAACACAAGGUCCACUGUUUCUACUUCUGUGUGUUUCUGGAUCCAGAGAAGGAGGUCCUACAACAGUAAGAAAAUUCUCAGUUGGUACAGCCUCGGAGCCUCUCUGUUCCAGCCAGCGAGUCCAGCGGAAAGGAAGGACAAGACGGGGCACACAACUCCCACACAGCAGUAUAAGCGCAAGGGUAAUUUUCAUGAAAAUCAAAAAAGUGUUAAGUAGAUAAAUUUCAACAUCGGCCAAAACAACUGUAAACAAAAAUAUAAGAAAACUUCUUUCUGAGGUGGCCUUUUUGUCAAGACAGAAAAAAUAAACAGCCCUCAAUGC
ensembl:antisense Arf4os ADP-ribosylation factor 4, opposite strand